CCUACGGGGGGCAGCAGUGGGGAAUAUUGCACAAUGGGGGAAACCCUGAUGCAGCGACGCCGCGUGAGUGAAGAAGUAUUUCGGUAUGUAAAGCUCUAUCAGCAGGGAAGAAAAUGACGGUACCUGACUAAGAAGCCCCGGCUAACUACGUGCCAGCAGCCGCGGUAAUACGUAGGGGGCAAGCGUUAUCCGGAUUUACUGGGUGUAAAGGGAGCGUAGGUGGCAUGGUAAGCCAGAAGUGAAAACCCGGGGCUCAACCCCGCGGAUUGCUUUUGGAACUAUCAGGCUGGAGUGCUGGAGGGGUA
rnacentral:rRNA from 1 species